AGACCCGAAACCCGGUGAUCUAGCCAUGGGCAGGUUGAAGGUUGGGUAACACUAACUGGAGGACCGAACCGACUAAUGUUGAAAAAUUAGCGGAUGACCUGUGGCUGGGGGUGAAAGGCCAAUCAAACCGGGAGAUAGCUGGUUCUCCCCGAAAGCUAUUUAGGUAGCGCCUCGUGAAUUCAUCUCCGGGGGUAGAGCACUGUUUCGGCUAGGGGGCCAUCCCGGCUUACCAACCCGAUGCAAACUGCGAAUACCGGAGAAUGUUAUCACGGGAGACACACGGCGGGUGCUAACGUCCGUCGUGAAGAGGGAAACAACCCAGACCGCCAGCUAAGGUCCCAAAGUCAUGGUUAAGUGGGAAACGAUGUGGGAAGGCCCAGACAGCCAGGAUGUUGGCUUAGAAGCAGCCAUCAUUUAAAGAAAGCGUAAUAGCUCACUGGUCGAGUCGGCCUGCGCGGAAGAUGUAACGGGGCUAAACCAUGCACCGAAGCUGCGGCAGCGACACUGUGUGUUGUUGGGUAGGGGAGCGUUCUGUAAGCCUGUGAAGGUGUGUCGUGAGGCAUGCUGGAGGUAUCAGAAGUGCGAAUGCUGACAUAAGUAACGAUAAAGCGGGUGAAAAGCCCGCUCGCCGGAAGACCAAGGGUUCCUGUCCAACGUUAAUCGGGGCAGGGUGAGUCGACCCCUAAGGCGAGGCCGAAAGGCGUAGUCGAUGGGAAACGGGUUAAUAUUCCCGUACUUGGUGUUACUGCGAAGGGGGGACGGAGAAGGCUAUGUUGGCCGGGCGACGGUUGUCCCGGUUUAAGCGUGUAGGUGUGUGUUCCAGGUAAAUCCGGUUCACUUUAACACUGAGGCGUGACGACGAGGCACUACGGUGCUGAAGCAACAAAUGCCCUGCUUCCAGGAAAAGCCUCUAAGCAUCAGGUAACAUCAAAUCGUACCCCAAACCGACACAGGUGGUCAGGUAGAGAAUACCAAGGCGCUUGAGAGAACUCGGGUGAAGGAACUAGGCAAAAUGGUGCCGUAACUUCGGGAGAAGGCACGCUGACACGUAGGUGAAGUGAUUUACUCAUGGAGCUGAAGUCAGUCGAAGAUACCAGCUGGCUGCAACUGUUUAUUAAAAACACAGCACUGUGCAAACACGAAAGUGGACGUAUACGGUGUGACGCCUGCCCGGUGCCGGAAGGUUAAUUGAUGGGGUCAGCGCAAGCGAAGCUCCUGAUCGAAGCCCCGGUAAACGGCGGCCGUAACUAUAACGGUCCUAAGGUAGCGAAAUUCCUUGUCGGGUAAGUUCCGACCUGCACGAAUGGCGUAAUGAUGGCCAGGCUGUCUCCACCCGAGACUCAGUGAAAUUGAACUCGCUGUGAAGAUGCAGUGUACCCGCGGCAAGACGGAAAGACCCCGUGAACCUUUACUAUAGCUUGACACUGAACAUUGAGCCUUGAUGUGUAGGAUAGGUGGGAGGCUUUGAAGUGUGGACGCCAGUCUGCAUGGAGCCGACCUUGAAAUACCACCCUUUAAUGUUUGAUGUUCUAACGUGG
rnacentral:rRNA from 1 species